UUGGAAGGAAGGAAGAUGUCCCUGGAAUUCUCGGUAUGGUUGCAGCGAGGGGAAGAUGGAAUCAUUUGAAUAAUUUUGUGCAUUGAAGAAUGGCCUAAAGCAAUCUGCAAAGUCCUUAUGUGCAACAUAUUUGACUCAUAUCUCAUGAACCGUGUAAUUAGGCAAAUGGUUGUAAUCUUUUGUUCAUACUGCUUGUAUAUGGCCC
rnacentral:misc_RNA from 1 species